GAUGAACGCUAGCGAUAGGCCUAACACAUGCAAGUCGAGGGGCAGCAUAGAGUAGCAAUACUUUGAUGGCGACCGGCGCACGGGUGAGUAACACGUAUGCAACCUACCUACAUCAGGGGAAUAACCCGGAGAAAUUCGGACUAAUACCGCAUAAUACAGGGAUGCCGCAUGGCAAUAUUUGUUAAAGAUUUAUCGGAUGUAGAUGGGCAUGCGUUCCAUUAGCUAGUUGGUGAGGUAACGGCUCACCAAGGCAACGAUGGAUAGGGGAACUGAGAGGUUAGUCCCCCACACGGGAACGGACACACGGACCAGACUCCUACGGGAGGCAGCAGUGAGGAAUAAUGGUCAAUAGUCGAGAGUCUUAACCAGCCAAAGCGCGUGUAGGAAGACUACCCUACGGGUUGUAAACUUCUUUUGUACAGGAAUAAAAGACAUUACGUGUAAUGUAUUGCAUGUACUGUACGAAUAAGCAUCGGCUAACUCCGUGCCAGCCGCCGCCGUAA
rnacentral:rRNA from 1 species